ensembl:lncRNA
AUUUUCGAUGUGCACCAGCUGGUGAGUACAGUAGGCUUACAUUAUUGUCUUCAGCGGCCUAUUUCUGCUAGUUGGAGCUGGGCUGGCUGGUUGCAUUCCUUAUUUACGAAGUGAUGUAGUUUCUAAUAAUUGCAGUAAUUCAGUGUAAUCCACACACACACUGACUGGCAGGAAAACGCUACUGGGCAGGCAUUAAGGCACGUCUGAACGCCUUCUAUUAGUUGAAUAUAAAGAAUAAUCUGACUUGCUAUUUGGAAAUGUGUUUUUAGUAGUCCAGGAGCUAAGACUUUUAUUGUUUUGCUAUAGACCCACAUAAAAAAUAAAAAAGUCCAUUAGUGCAGGUAACACGAAACUGACCUAGGUCGUACUGCAGCUGUGCAUUUCAUCCAACAACAGUAAUCUUGGAUGACCGACGGUCCUAGGCAGCGGGGCAACACAUCUGCGGACGGGGAUACCCCUACCUCCUAAUCCAGUAAAGAGAGUGGCACUGAAGAAAGAGAGUGGCCUUGUCAGCGCAUGUGGAAUUAUUCUUUGUCUCAGGUGACAUAAUCGGGUCAGGGAUCAUUGUGAGCCCAAAGGGCGUUAUGGAGAAUGCCAGCUCUGUGGGGCUGGCUCUCGUAGUGUGGAUUGUCACCGGAGUGAUCACAGCCAUUGGUGCACUGCUUUGCUGAACUGGGCGCCACUAUCCCCAAAUCUGGAGGAGACUACUUAUACGUCAAGGUCUUUGGGAGGACUUGUUGGGCUUCACAGCAUAUCCCCCUUCUUUACCUUGGGAAAGCUGAUUUUUCUAUGAUGGCAUUCCUGCUGUGAUGGUUGCCUGGGAAGCUGUGCAGAACAGGCUCCUGGACCUCCUCUUCAACUAGGUCACCCUUGAUCCAGCGCUGUAUGUGGGGAAGCUGUGCAAGCUGUCCAUCGCAGAACCCCUGUGCCCAGUGUGAGAGGCCUCCACGACAGAGGCCUGACAAGGAGGAAGCCCUAGCUGGAUUUGUCUCCCGCUUCAAUCUUGGGAAUGACUGAAGCCAAGUGUGUGACUGAAGCCUGCAUAAUUGAAGCAGGGUACAUGGGUCCCCCUCCUCUCCCGCUCCCCUCCCAUCAAUCUCUGUAGUUGGUUGCAUUUGCUAAAGCAAUGAUCUUUUACGUCAUAAGAUAUCACCUUUUGUUAGUUUUUAUAGUUUUUUUUUCAAGCAUUCUAAUGGGAGAUGAGUGUUACAAAUUGUACAAAUGAAUGAGAUCCUGCACACUGUAGGGUGGCCAAGUGCCUAUAUUAGGCUCUAUGCCUCUAAUAUAUUUGUUUCUCAUUCAAAUUAUGUCAUACCAUUAUUUCUCAUGGGUGUUCAAGUUGAUCAAUAUUUUGGCUAUGUUGGCCUAUUGUAAAUUAGCGAAUAACUGUCUGAUCAAUAAAUUCAAUUCUGAACAUAUUGUCAUUUAUAAUGCUAUUUACUCAUUCUUGUGAAGUAUACUGAACAAAAAUAUAAAUGCAACAUGUAAAGUGUUGGUUUAAUGAGCUGAAAUAAAAGAUCAGAGACAUU